UUGGAUAGAAUUCCAAACAGGCCCUGAUAUUUUGGUACAAAAUUUGAAUCAUAGUUUCAUGGACUAAAAUCCUAUCCGUUGUUUGGUGAGCCUAAAUGCACUCUUGGACUGGUUGGGCUUGAUAUUUCGCUUGGGAUACCAAUCCAGCAAAUGGUGGUAUUAUAAACCCAAGAAAAACCAUGGGUUUCGAAGCCUCCGCCUACCCCGUUCGCUGCUUAAAACAACGUUUGCUCUUCUCUUCUUCCCAUAGCUCUUUUUCUUCUUUUCAUUCUCCUCUGUGACUUCAUCACUGCCGUUUUGAACGUAGAUUUCUUUCCUCUGUAAAUCAUUUUUUUUUUUUCCUAUGGAGGUGUGAUUCUCUCUUCUAUCAUUUCUUCUCUUACAGUCGGGAAUAGCAGCAAAAACACACAAAAAAGGCCUUCAAAAGAAAAUACAUGAAGAAAAAAAGAAGAGCAUUAACUGCAGAAUAUCUAGAUUCCUGAGAACGUCUUUCAUCUUAUGGAUUUAUCUUUUUCAAAUUUUUGGAAAAUAAUCCCCUAGAGUUUUUGACAUUCUAAUACCUCAGUCUACCUGCAAAUGCUGACUCCAAAUCCUUUGAUCGAACCCCGGC
rnacentral:lncRNA from 1 species